GAGACGGCGGCGAGGAAAGUUUGGUUUUGUUUUUUUUUUUCCCCUCCCGGUGGUGUUUUUUGGACGGCGCCGGCGGAGCGGGGGGGGGUACGCUUUUCGCAGCUUCUUCGCCUUUUGCUUCCUGGGGUUCGUGUUUCCCGGGCGGGCGGAGCCGCCCCCGGCACUGAGAAGAACGGGGGCUCAGCGCACCGCGGCGGCGCCUCGGCGGGUUUUGUUUUUGCACUGAAUGUAGCCAGUACGGAUCCUUGUGGGCUUUGGCAGCCCUUGGAAACUGUCACAGGCAGUAUUUUGCAUUUCUGCAGAGCUUUGCACAGAUCCUGUUCCCAUGCAGACUGAUGAGGGAGAAAUACUGGAGGAAGGCAGUCCCAAGAUGGAACAUGAGGAUUUUGUAAUGGAGGGGCAUGGCAAGACUCCACCUCCUGGUGAAGAAAACAAACAGAAGAAGAGGGCCUUGUCCUAGAAGUACUUCAGUGAUGGCUGUAUUCUGUAUGGUCUUCAUUAGUUAAUGCAAUGUAUUACUUACUUGCAGUGGGAAUUAGCUGGACAUCAACAUACUGGACUGGGUUUUUGAAAGAGGACAGAGGGGAGCUCUGGAGCAUCUGGCAGAGGAGAAGCAAAGAAGACUGUGUCUGUUUAGCCUUGAGAUAAGAAAACUGGGGAGGAUAUUAUUAUUCAUGUGUCUAUCUGAUGAGGAGACUAAGGAAGACUGAGCCAAAUUCUUCACAGUGGUGCCUGGUGGAGAGGCAAGAAGCCAUUGGCAUAAACUGAAAUACAGGAAGCUCCACUCAAACACAAGGGAAAAAUGUUCUUUUUUUACUGUUAAAAAUGGUCAGACCUUUAGAAGAGGUUACCCAGAAAAGUUGUGACCUCUAAGUGACUCAAAACUCAGCUGAGCACAACCCCAAUUCUGCUUCAACCUGCUUUAGUUAACCAUGCCUUGAGCAAAGGCAUGGGAUUGAUGGUAUCAGAGAUCCAUCCAUCUGCAGUGAUUCUGUGAUUUGUUGUACCCAUAUCUACUGUUAUCCUCCUGGUUGGUUUGAAAUAAAAUUGGAGCUUCUUAGUGAAAGGUAGGUUCUAAGUUUGAAUGUAGAGUCAGAUGUUCUCCACAGAAAUAGCUGAUCCACUGAAGAUGCUUCCUUCCCUUUCCAGCUGUCAUUAGACUUAGUAGAAUUUACUGCCUCUACAGCUAUGCAGAUGGAAUGGUUUUUCUUUGACUACUUCUAAUUUACUUUUCAGGAAAGUUUACCAUUGUAAUUUAAUUGUCUUUCGUUAGGCAGCCUGAUCUGGGUAUCUCUGCACUGGGAUUAUUGAGGAAGUGUUCAGAAGAUACGGUUUCAGCAAGGGAGCAAACUUGCACCGGAGCUCCAGAGCAAUCUGCUAGUAUUGACCUCCUAGGAAAGCCCUGCAAAUUUCUUACUAUUUGUCUGCAUUUCAAUGGGCUCAAAACUUUACCGGACAAUGAAAGAACCGAAAUAAAAAGAUACUUUUGAGAGACUUUUGAUGGAUGCAAUAGUUCUUACCUAGGCCCUGUUUUAUGUGGUAUUUCCUUUACUAAAGUAUAGCUUCAAAACUGAAUAUAAGGAGCCAGCAUCCAUGGAUGAUGUCUGGCACUUUAUGAAACAGAUUUUUUCCCCAGUUUGACUUGGAGAUAAAAACUUGGCAUUUUUGCCUUGUAGUAUUAAACAAAGAUACAAAAAUGCAAACAAACCCAGCAACAACAAACAACCCUGCUGUAAUGUUGUGAGCCCUUUCUACUGUACUGGACAGUUCUUUUGGACAGAUACUAAAGUUACAACAUUUUUUAAGACUUUUAAUUGAGCUGUAGGUGAUACCUGAGAAAUGCUGUCUUCUGAUAGCUGUCACCUUUAUAGGAAGGAAUUACCUGGUUAAACUGUAUACAAGGUCUUCAGAAAUCUUCAACUGAUCUUUCACAGUAUGGAUAUAACUUAUUUCAAUUUAAGCUAAUUAUGAUGAAGUUACCUAUUCAAAAUCCUUAGUACAAGUGAGAAAGUGAAUGGGCACAGUCAUCUCAGUCCUGUGAAAGAUUUGCAUCUAUGUGCAGUGCAUAUGUCACAAAAGAUGUCAUGGUUGUGCAGCAGUCAAGUGAUGUAUGCUAAAAACUGAACUUCAGAAGGAGUGAGCCUGCUGGGACUGCUGGAGCAGAUCAUGGCCAUCUCACACCUUGCUCCUGCUCUGGCUGAGGACCAGUGACUCCUUGAUAAAUUGUUACUUCUCAGUUUUUAUGUACUCUGUAACCUCCCUUCUUAGCUGUCUGGCAUGGGAUAUCACUGUGUGUUAUACUUGGUCACAUUAUUUUUUUUAUGUGGACAAUACAUUUGGUAAGAAUGUUUCCUUCCUUCCUUCCCAAUAGAGAAAAAUUACAUUAUGCUUAAUUACAGGUGAACAUUUUGUUAGAGGUGUUCUCUCAUAUUUUCAUCCAUUACAACAAGGUUGACCUGAACUGGCAUGCUUAGGGAGUAAAUACUCCCCCCACAAAAUACUUACGUUUUACAUGGCAUCAUCCUAUUGUGCCCUUAUCAAUUGUAAUAGGGCUUUUACUUUGCUACUGCUGGAGCAAAGAUUAAGAGGAAAAUGUGAUCCAGAGACAUCUUUCCAAAACAGUCAAACUUCUGUUGAUGAGCAUGGGGCAACCACCGGGGCAGGAAGAAGAAUUCUGCUCAAGUCCUUAAAUUGAGGUUCUGCUCCUGGCUCUAGCAGCAUUAAUUAGCAACUCUCCUUGUGCUAAUAAAUUACCACCUGCUGUCAUAACCAGAAAUGUGUGCACCUUAAUGAGUGAACGGGACUGGGUAGUGAAAAAUUAUUCCUUUUUAUAAGAUAAAUGUAAAUGUUUUACUCUUCCUAACUGACACAUGGAGAGGUCUGUUUGACAGUAGCAAUUCAGACAAAAAGUGAGCCAAAUUCUUACUCACAUCUGGUAGGAAGGUAAGCCAAGCUGCUCCUGCUGUUUGAAGUACCUCAGCUGGCUGUUCCCUAUCUGCUUUUUUGUAGUAACGGGAGAGAAAAGUCUUCAACUAUCUUGACAAUUUGUACAUCUGGAAGUGAUUCACAUUGUAAGAAAGGUAUCAAAACAAGAUAAUUUCUGUAAUUUAGAAAGUUAGAUCUACUGAAUAGGCUUUUCCCUGGCUUGAUAGUUUAAUGUACAGAUUCUGAGGCAAGUGUUUUUGAUGAAACCCCCCAAAAUUGUACUAAUGCCAGGAUAAGAUUGCAAUCACUGAGCAUCACAAAAUUGUUUAACAUUUGGUACUAGUAUCUUAUUUUUCUUUGAUAUUUCAGCAGGAAGGUUCAAGGUCUUCUUGGAUUUGUGUGACACUAUAGUUAAAAGAAAGUAGUAGCUAAAUUGACCUAACCUGCAAAGAGGAAUUACAGACUCCAAAAAUCAUCUUGUCCAAUACCAUGCCCAAAGAGGGGGGCAGAUUUGAAGGUUAGAUUUAACUUCUAAGUGGUAUUAGGCUUUUCAGGUUUAUUCGAGAGCUUUUUUGGACAGUCUGUUGCAAUAUUAAGCACCCUCACAGUGAAGAAAACUUCCUAAUGUUCAGUAAGAAUUUAUGAUCAUUGCUUUUCAUCUUUGAAUGUGUGUAUCUGAACAUGGCCCAGUCUUCAUUAAAACUUGCCACUGUGUUCACUUAGCAGAAUAGCUUCCCCCUCCCCCUCGCUUAGUUUUGCUGUAUGGAAACUAAGUGAAAUCAAGAAGCCAGUCUACAGGCUAGUCUUUGUUUUCAGCAAGCUGCUAUGUCAAGGGCACGUGUAAACAUCACUGCUCUAAUAGCACAAAAGAACCUAUCUUACUCUUUCAUGGUGUUGCUGAAAACUAUAAAAAGGCUCCAGUGGUAUAUCCUGAAGUUGUCUGGUUUGGUUGGUGAGAAUGAUAGACACUGUUAUGAACUACUGCAGUGUUCUUUUGUACAGUUGAAAUUCCACAAAGGUGCCUAGCAUUGCUUCUGUUCCUUUAGGAUAAAACAUUGUUCUUACCAAAUUUAAAGUAAACAGUUAGCUAAAAGCUUUUGUAACACGGGUUUGUUUGAUGUUUUAAGGAUAUUCAAUAUUACAGAAGAUAUUGAGACUUGCCUUGAGUGGCAUUACACUUUUUAAAUUUACUGGCAGUACUAACCUCAGCAGAGGUUGUUUUUUGUCAGAAGAUCCAUGCUUUGAUUUUCAAAGUAGUAUCCAAAUCCUAAUUCAGAUUAUCAACUCAGAUUUGAGGUAUCUAAAUUUGCAUAGCAACCCAAAUUCUGUGAAAUUAAUGGUAAGUUAUUUCUUGAAUUACAUCCAAGAAUUAUGUAAAGGCAUAGCUAUUUUUAUAUUGCUGAUUGUUCUCUGUGUGUAGAAUAACUAGCCUGUUCAGGAAAUGUCCCCCCAAACAUUCAAGUCCUCUGCCUGAGAUCCUAACAAGUCAUGGGAUGUCUGUAUUGGCCAUAGCAGACCUCUCUGUCACAGGGUGUUGCAGCUCUGUUAGUGUGUCAGACUGUGCUUCAGACCCAGUGGUAACUCAGGCUCACUCUGAUCCUGGCAUGUGAGUAGGAGAGUUAUAACUUUUUUCUUUUAUACCCUUAGAGAUUUGAGAGGGUAUUUAAGGGUGUGAGACUAUUAGACUAAAACAAAAUGAAAAUCAGUCCAGCUAAGGAUUAAGGAAUGUUUUCAUGCCCUUCAUACUGUACAGAUGUUUUUAGUCCAUAUAGUGGAGUGAGUGACAGGACAAGUUUGUAUUUGAAGGCAGGUUUACCUGGAUGUUUAAUAGGGCCCUGAGGCAUAGAGAAAAAAUUGCCCUUUAUUUUGCAAUUGAGUGAGUAGAAAUGAAUGAGACAUGAGCAAAAUCUGUAUCUGUAGAGGCAGCUGUGUUUUAGCUGUGACUUGCAAGUCAACCAAGUUACAAAAGCUGACUUGCACCCUUACAAUAUACUACUUCUGAACAAUGUGCAGAAUUUAUACACGAGCACUUUAAAAUGGCAAAAGUUUCAUUGUCUUCCAUAUUUUACCAGUUCAGUGUUAAAUGCUUUGAAGUUUUUGUACUUAAAAUUUUAAGUGUUACCCACAGGAAGACUCUUGUUUGAAUAUUCUAAGCAAAAAUAUUUUAAAAUUAGGCAUUUCUUCUGAAGGUUAGACUUGCAAAAGUUUUCAAUUAUCAUUUCAUGAUUCUUAAGACUCUGCAUUUCAUGUCCUCGGUGAUUUUCUUUUUUUUUUUCCCUUUCAAACCAUGAACAAAUACAGGCUUUUCAUACACCUCAGCCAACCUACAGCUUAGUUUACUGCUGUUUUGCAAGUAUUUUCUUCAUAUGUGGAAAGAAACGGAAGCCAGAUGACCAACCGUUAAGAAAAAUAAAAAGGAAGUCACACAGAAAAAAGUCAACUUUGGAAGUGAAGUUCCCACUUAUUAUCACAAUGUGUUUAGUCUACACCACUGCUGAAUAUUGAAAGAGGAAAAUAUUUUGGACAGUGUACAUUCUAAGUGUGAAUGUUUUGGCAUUUCUUUGCUGAGGAUUUUAUGCUGCUCUCUUCCAGAUGUCUUGUGGUGAGAACAAGCUAGUUUGUUUGGGCUCUCCCCACCCCUAAGAUCUGCAUUUGUCCUGUGUAGGAAGUGCACAGAGCCUGCUUCUGAAUUUGCAGUCUCAUCUGACCAAGAGACUACUUCAUACUUGUCUUAGUGAAAAUAUAUUUUCUUAGUGAAAAU
ensembl:lncRNA